rnacentral:piRNA from 1 species
UACAAGCAAGCACCCACUUUUCAGGAUGCAC